rnacentral:rRNA from 1 species
UUGAACGCUGGCGGCAGGCCUAACACAUGCAAGUCGAGCGGAUGAAGGGAGCUUGCUCCUGGAUUCAGCGGCGGACGGGUGAAUAAUGCCUAGGAAUCUGCCUGGUAGUGGGGGAUAACGUCCGGAAACGGGCGCUAAUACCGCAUACGUCCUGAGGGAGAAAGUGGGGGAUCUUCGGACCUCACGCUAUCAGAUGAGCCUAGGUCGGAUUAGCUAGUUGGUGGGGUAAAGGCCUACCAAGGCGACGAUCCGUAACUGGUCUGAGAGGAUGAUCAGUCACACUGGAACUGAGACACGGUCCAGACUCCUACGGGAGGCAGCAGUGGGGAAUAUCGGACAAAGGGCGAAAGCCUGAUCCAGCCAUGCCGCGUGUGUGAAGAAGGUCUUCGGAUUGUAAAGCACUUUAAGUUGGGAGGAAGGGCAGUAAGUUAAUACCUUGCUGUUUUGACGUUACCAACAGAAUAAGCACCGGCUAACUUCGUG